rnacentral:tRNA from 1 species
UGGAUUGUAGCCAAGUUGGUAAGGCAACAGACUUUGACUCUGUUAUGCACUGGUUCAAGUCCAGUCAAUCCAA